rnacentral:lncRNA from 1 species
UGCCGACGUCCUUCUCUCUUCCUCUCCAGGUGCGUAAGGCCGAGCGCCAAGCAUUCAUCAACUGCACGGCCGAGUAUGCCCGGGACAUGCACGCCACCGAGUACGUCGAACGGCUCUUCGACGACGAGUCCUACCGAAAGGAGUUGUACGACUGCUAUUACAAACAACGAAAGGCUACAAUGCUGGAGAGAGGCCUGGCGCCGCAGUUGUCUAACCGAGCGUACAGGAAAUGUCUCGCUGACGCCAUGAAAACCAGCGCCAAGAAAGUCUGAGAGAAUAUGGGGCGCGGGCAGAAAAAUGAAGGGGGGGGGGGGGGGAAGGGGAUCUUUAUAAUGACUGUUCCACUCGGAGGGGUUUUCUUUCGGAGCCAUGAUGUGACGUGGGCGACUGACAGCUUGACUUCCAAGGCAGAAGAGACCGCGACCCCUUACGUGGAAAGCAACACCACGUCUAGACUCGUCACCCGCACGCUUUCACAUGGCAACUUUUCUAUAAAAGCGAAUAUUUUUCACAGUUUUAUAGGUAACGGCAGUUUUCUUGACAUUCGUGUGGUGCCGCGCUGAGAUUAUAUAACUUGUAGGCUUAGCUGUGAUCAGCCCUAUUAAGUGCAGCAGCGACUAACAGACCGCUGACAUUCGCAACGUAUAAGAGCCGCAUCACGAAUACCAACUGCUCUCUUAGCUUAGUCUGGUCUUCAUUAUAUUCGGCACGUUUAAAAUACCGAGAACUUCCACUCAUAGUAAGGGAAAAUAAUGAGGGUGCGGCUGCAGUUUAAGCGACAGGAAUGUUUCACGCUAAACGCUCAACGACCCUCAUUUGGUCACACGGCCCUAAAUCGGAAGUUCACCUUCGGUUCUUAAAACACAUCCUGUUAAGGACAUGCGCCAACACACUAAAUUUAAUAAACGCUAUGAGAAACAAAA